rnacentral:lncRNA from 1 species
UUUUGCUUUUUUGUAUUACCUGGGGAGCUGGUUUUUCCACGAUGUGAAACUGUAUCACCACACACCAGUUCUAAUUUCGUAUGAUCAUCAUUCUCGCCAUGGUCCCGUUCCACGACCAAGGGAUCAAAAGAAUUAGCACACCUAAUAUCUGCAACUUCCUGUUUUGUAUGAUCUGUUUAUUAGGUGAUACAGCUGACUAAUCUUUAGCCCCAUUAUAUUAGGAUUAAUGUUC